CCUACGGGAGGCUGCAGUGGGGAAUAUUGCACAAUGGGCGCAAGCCUGAUGCAGCCAUGCCGCGUGUGUGAAGAAGGCCUUCGGGUUGUAAAGCACUUUCAGCGGGGAGGAAGGCGUUAAGGUUAAUAACCUUGUCGAUUGACGUUACCCGCAGAAGAAGCACCGGCUAACUCCGUGCCAGCAGCCGCGGUAAUACGGAGGGUGCAAGCGUUAAUCGGAAUUACUGGGCGUAAAGCGCACGCAGGCGGUCUGUCAAGUCGGAUGUGAAAUCCCCGGGCUCAACCUGGGAACUGCAUUCGAAACUGGCAGGCUAGAGUCUUAUAGAGGGGGGUAGAAUUCCAGGUGUAGCGGUGAAAUGCGUAGAGAUCUGGAGGAAUACCGGUGGCGAAGGCGGCCCCCUGGACAAAGACUGACGCUCAGGUGUGAAAGCGUGGGGAGCAAACAGGAUUAGAUACCCGUGUAGUC
rnacentral:rRNA from 1 species